UGCACUGACCACAUACCCCUCCUAGAAACUGGCAGCUGGCUCUUCCAGCAUGGCCAGCCUGUGACUGACUAUCAGCUCUAGCAGGACUGGAUCAUGGAGAUAAGGGCCAUGCCUCUAACUGUGCAGGCCACUUUGCUGGGUGGAGACUGGGUGAGCCAUCAAGCUGAAAGAAUGUUGACAAAGCCAUGGGAGCAGAAUUCCCCUCUGACUUCUGGAAGAAAAUAAUGGCUGAGAGACAGAUUUGCUGGAAGUCUCUUUUCAAGAAAUUUUAUCUCAGGAGUCAACAACCUAGGCACUACUGCUUAGGUUAGCCCACAAACUGGUUUCCAUCAGCGUGGCCCAGGCUGACAGGCACCUCCAUCCUGUUCCUCAGCGGAGGUGGUGCUCUCAUGAUGCCUACUGGAUUCCCACGCAGAUCUGCCUUCUAGUCACAAUGUUCCUGCUGCAAAAUUAGCCCCUUUCUUCCUCAUCAACAUUUCCAGGAUCUGAUAACAGCCUACUAUCAACAAACAACAUAGAUGUAAACUAACACCAUGGAUUUCAGAAUUUGAGAAACAGCCCGAUGAGCCCUGUUGGAGAAACUAUAAACUUACAGUCCCUAUCAUAUAUUUUAAAUCACUUUUCAUUUAUUAUCUUCCAUGUUCAUUCUUAAAUGUGUUUUAAUUCAUCUUUUCCCCUCCAGAUUGUUACAACCAGCAGCAGGAGUUGUGUAAUAGAAUAUUUUGAAUCCUCCACAAAAUGUAGUCUUUCAGCAAUAGGAGAUUAGUUGAUUAAAAUCUGUGUGAACAAGCUC